GAUGCAUUUAGUAAUUGCAUAUACUUGAGAAUAAGAGUUGAUCGAGGUGGUGGAUGCUUGUAGUAAUAAUUCGAAACAAUGCUUUGGAAUCUAGAUGGGAAAUACAGAAAUGGAUGGUGUAUGUGCUCAUGUUGUAAAUCAUAAGUGUGAAGGUAGGAGGUAGGUUGUGUGUUGGUUUGAUUGCACCAUGGCAUUGGUACAUGGAUGGUCCUGCUUGGUAUAUCUGCAAUGGGGGACCAUACGCAUUCUAGGAGUGAUCAUGCUUGGUAUAU
rnacentral:lncRNA from 1 species